rfam:TPA: Bos taurus chromosome 1, whole genome shotgun sequence.
UUCCUGGUGGCCCAGCAGUUAGGACUCUGCACUUCCACUGCAGGGUCCCAGGUUCCAUCUCUGGUUGGGGAA